UCUGGGUGGCGCAAACGGUUAAUGUGUUCAGCUGCUAACUGAAAGGUUGGAGGUUCGAGUCCACCCAGAG
rnacentral:tRNA from 1 species